AUGGCGCCGCCACUCGUCGCCAUCGUCCGGCUUGCCACUGCCUCCCGUGUCUUGGUCCUUACUCUCUCUCUGCUCGCUCGCCUUCUCUUCCGCCCAUACGACACCUCCGCCUCCCUUCACCCGCCUUGUCUCUCCUCCCCCUCCUUCCCCCCUUCCGCCUCCUCUUCUAAUUCCACUGCUACCGCCACCGCCAUCUCGUCCCUAGCUGUAUGGGACGGUGUCCACUUCGCUCGCUCUGCUGAGUGCGGCUACGAGUAUGAGCAGUCAUUCGCCUUCCUCCCCCUGCUCCCAGCCUCAAUCGCUCUACUCUCCCGGUCCCUGUUCGCGCCGCUGGUGCCGAUGCUGGGGUACAGGGUCGUGCUUGUGAUCUCCGGGCAUGUUCUGAACAAUGUGGCAUUUGUUGGCGCCGCGGCCUAUUUCUACAGAUUAUCUGUGCUGAUCUUGAAGGACUCAGGAGCGGCUUACCGUGCAUCUGUUCUUUUUUGCUUCAAUCCAGCUUCUGUGUUCUACUCAUCACUAUAUUCAGAAAGUCUUUAUGCCCUUUUUUCGCUCGGAGGGCUCUUCUACCUGUUUUCCGGUGCUCGUACCGUUGCAAUGAUAAUGCUCGCUCUAUCUGGUUCAGCUAGGUCAAAUGGAGCACUUAAUGCUGGCUAUAUCUGUUUUGAGGCUUUGCUACAAGCAUAUGAUGCUGCUAUCCAGAAGAAAAGGCCCAUGUGGGCAGUGCAGGCCCUUGUCACUGGAUUUUUGCGCUCCACUUUUGUAUUCCUACCAUUCUUUGCCUUUCAAGCAUAUGGAUAUUUGAACAUAUGCGUACACGGGGACACGGAUGAGCUGAGGCCAUGGUGCAAAGCAAAACUGCCCCUUUUGUAUAGUUUUAUUCAGAGUCACUACUGGGGAGUUGGUUUCUUGAGAUACUUUCAAGUCAAGCAGCUGCCCAACUUUCUUUUGGCUUCACCAGUACUAUCUCUUGCAGUUUAUUCUAUAGUUCACUACACAAAAUUGCUUCACCAACUCUUCCAAUCAACUAGCAUACACGAGCAGAUAAUUGCCAUUGUUGACGGGAGGUUAGUUGAAGCAUAUGAAAGCUCAGAUGUUGCCACAGUGUUGAAGAGUGAAAUUUCUACCGGACCACAUAACAAAAAGCAAGGGAACACUGAGGUUAAGAAGAGAAAAUCUGUCGCGGCCAGCGCUGCUUCAGCAGCAUCUUUAGAUAGCAAUGUAUCAAGAGGCCGAAUUGUGGGAGAUAACAAGGAUGAGUGCCCCUUGCUAGUUCUUCCUUUCAUUUUACACCUGACAUUCAUGACAUUUACCGCCUUCUUCGUGAUGCACGUCCAGGUGUCAACGCGGUUUCUGUCUGCCAGCCCCCCGAUCUACUGGGCCGCUUCGCGCAUUUUGGCUCCUGCAAGGGGCGGCUCUUGCAAGAGAUGGGGAUACUUCGUCAUCGUUUACUUCGUUGCUUAUAUUCUUCUCGGCAGUUUGCUCUUCCCCAACUUCUACCCAUUCACAUGA
rnacentral:rRNA from 1 species